rnacentral:rRNA from 1 species
GAUGAACGCUGGCGGCGUGCCUAAUACAUGCAAGUCGAGCGAACGGACGAGAAGCUUGCUUCUCUGAUGUUAGCGGCGGACGGGUGAGUAACACGUGGAUAACCUACCUAUAAGACUGGGAUAACUUCGGGAAACCGGAGCUAAUACCGGAUAAUAUUUUGAACCGCAUGGUUCAAAGGUGAAAGACGGUCUUGCUGUCACUUAUAGAUGGAUCCGCGCUGCAUUAGCUAGUUGGUAAGGUAACGGCUUACCAAGGCAACGAUGCAUAGCCGACCUGAGAGGGUGAUCGGCCACACUGGAACUGAGACACGGUCCAGACUCCUACGGGAGGCAGCAGUAGGGAAUCUUCCGCAAUGGGCGAAAGCCUGACGGAGCAACGCCGCGUGAGUGAUGAAGGUCCUCGGAUCGUAAAACUCUGUUAUUAGGGAAGAACAUAUGUGUAAGUAACUGUGCACAUCUUGACGGUACCUAAUCAGAAAGCCACGGCUAACUACGU